CAGAGAAUAGUUUAGUUUAGAAUCCUAGCUUUGGGAGUUAGGGGNGGGGGGUUAGAAUCCCCCUUCNUUUG
rnacentral:tRNA from 1 species